rnacentral:lncRNA from 1 species
GCAGUACCUUCCCUCUUCAGAUUGGAAAAGGAAAACACUUUCCCAGCUUUCCUUGCAACUAGAGUGACCAUGUGACACAAUUCUGGUGGUAAGGCAAAGUGAAAACGUGUGGGGGCCCACAGGAACCUAAGAAGGCUCUUCAGUUUGUUGUCUAGUGAAGCAGCAGCCAACACUCCAUCACUGAUCUCACAGGCAUAAGGGAAAACCAAAGGCAUUCCGGAGAUGCCAGUCCUGAUAGCAUCAAGCCUUGACACUGAGGCAAGCAGAAGUCUACUUGUGAGAAAAAUUAACUCCUCCUUGUUUCCCAUUUGUAUGAGACAAAAUCUCACUGUGUUACCCAGGCCGCUCAAGUAC